GGCUUUGGGUGCUCCGGGCCUAGCAGAGUGUCUGUAGGGCUGGAGCCCAAGGCCUUGGGGUGGGAGCAAGAAGCCAGGGCGGGGCCCUGGGCGCUGACUUCCAUUUUACCUCCCCAGACUUAUGCCAGUGGAGUCCUUGGGGGCCCUGGAGCCCCUGUCAGGUGUCGUGCAGUGGGGGCUUCCGGCUACGCUGGAGGGAGGCAGGGGGCCCCCCUGGAGGAGGCUGCCGGGGGCCUUGGGCUCAGACUGAGAGCUGCAACGUGGAGCCCUGCCCAGGUAACCCCCAUCCUGGCAUCUGGAGGCGGGGCCAAGGACUGUAACACGGGAGAUAGCACCUGAUGAGGAGGUGGCCUCUGCUCCUGGAGGCGUGCCCUGGAGGGCAGGGUGCUGUCCUGGGGGCCCAAAAGUCGGUCCCCAACACAGACUCCUACCUUCUGGUCCUCAGGGGAGAGCUGUGAAGCCCAGGACACCGUGCCCACCCUUGACUGUGCCAACCAGUGCCCUAGAAGCUGUGUGGACCUCUGGGACCGCGUGCAGUGUCUGCAGGGACCAUGCCGUCCAGGUGGCCGGGCCACGCCCACAGCCCAGCCUGGGAGCCCUAGGGCCUCAGACCAGAGCAGCUUGCUUCGCUGAUCCCUACCAGAGAGCAUGUGACCUGCGGGCGGGGACAUGUUACAGGAUCAGGGGUUAUAGGGCAGCAAAGUGGAUCCUUGGGUCACUUUCAGCACCUGGGUAGGGGUCCUGCGUAGAGCGAGCCUUACCUAACACAGGCUUUGUCUGUGAGGACGUUCUGGCAGCCUCAGGGGUCCCUGGGGUGGGGCCCACACAGGGUGGGCUGGAGUGACCCCUUCCUGUGCUCCAGCAGUGGAAACAGUGUGGAGACCGGGUCAAGUGGGGACUCGGGGGGCUGGGGUAGGGGAGGGUGCUCCAGGGUCAGCCUGAAGCUCCGGACCCCAUCUGGCUGCCAGAGGGACCCAUGAUGUGUGCCCGAACCUUGCUUGUCCUCCCCACCCCCCUCAGGCUGCCGCUGCCCCCCUGGCCAACUGGUGCAGGAUGGGCGCUGUGUGCCCAUCUCCUCCUGCCGCUGUGGCCUCCCCAGCCCCAAUGCCUCAUGGGUGGUGGCCCCAGCCGAGGUGGUACAGCUGGACUGCAAAAACUGGUAUGGCUGCCCACUGGUGGCCAAGCAGGGGAUGGGGAGUUUUAGGUGGGAGGCUUGGGACAGGUCAGGGUGGAGGGCGUUAGCGGGAAGCAAAGGCUCUGUUCCCCUUGACUUGUGCCCUUGACCCCUGUCCGCAGCACCUGUACCAACGGGUCCCUAGUGUGCCCACGCCAUGAGUGCCCAGUCCUUGGGCCUUGGUCAGCCUGGAGCAGCUGCUCUGCUCCCUGUGGUGGGGGCAGCAUGGGGCGACGUAGGAGCUGUGAGGAGGGUCCUAUAGGGGCGCCAUGCCAGGCCCAGGACACAGAGCAACGGCAGGAAUGUAACCCGCAGCCCUGCCCUGGUGAGCACCUGGGGUGGGGGAGUGAGGGGGGAGCCUCCCUGCCCUCUGGUGCUGCUGAGCUCGGCCGGCGUUCAACAGCGUGGGCGGUGGGUCCCGAGGCGGUCCCCUCCCUGGUACUCCACCUCACCAUCUGUGCGCUCCCCCCAGAGUGCCCGCCUGGCCAGGUGCCCAGUGCCUGUGCCGCUUUGUGCCCACGCCUCUGCUCGCAUCUGCAGCCUGGUGCCCUCUGUGCGCAGGAACCCUGCCGGCUCGGCUGUGGCUGCCCCGGAGAGCAGGUAUGGACAGUGCCCUGACUGCCGUAUGGGGGGGCAGGCAGGUGGGGGGCAGAGAAGUGUGGUGUGAGCAGAACUGAGCCCGCGCCUUCCUGCCGCAGCUGCUGCACAAUGGCACGUGUGUGCCCCCUGCGGCGUGCCCCUGCACCCAGAUCUCUCUGCCCUGGGGCCUUACCUUGACUCUUGAAGAACAGGCCCGGGAGCUUCCCCCAGGAACUGUGCUCACCUGGAACUGCACGCGCUGGUGAGGGCCCCGGGCAGGGGGGACAGGGGGAGGAGGGAGCUAGGGCAGGGAGGGGGUGGAGGGCAGCAUUGCUGAGAAGGGGGGUGGGGAGGAGGGCACCGGAGGCGUCCGAACACGUGCUUCUGUCUUCCCAGUAUCUGCCAAGAUGGAGCCUUCAACUGCUCCCCAGCUGACUGUCGUGGUGAGAUGUGGCUGUCUAGGCCCCUGCUGGUCCUUCCAAAGCCAGGGUGGGGUUGGCCCCGAUGAGGGCAGAGGGCGCUGCCUGCCCUAGGCAAAGCUGUCUCUCCCAAGAAGCCCCUUCCUUGCUCCGUCCACACUGGUGUUGGGGGCAUUCCUGUGAGCACACGGCUGUGAGUGAUGCAGGAAGUGGAGGGUCUUUCCCUGCAGAUGAGGAAGCAAAGGCUGAGGGUGAGCUAAAGUAGGACCCUUGUCUGGCAUCUGCCCUGUGCUGUUUUACCCCCAUCUGAUCAAAGUCAACAGGCGUUUGCUAAGGGCUCACAGGUGCCCAGCUCGGGCACACUGGGCUCUGUGUGGAUUCAGAGGCACACAGGCCUGGUGAGUCCUGAGCAGCCCCAGUCUGGCUGCUGAGGGCCAGCUCACCCACCGGAACAGGUAGGGACAGGAGACAGUUUCUGGCUCACUGACCAGCAGGCUGCACCCACAGGACUGGAAAUCGGUGCCAUGAAUGGAGAGGUCAGGGUGGACAGGACUGGUCAGGGGAGGCUUCCUGGAGAAGGCCAGACUCGAGUUAGGCCCCGUUAGUAUUUGGAAGGUGGAUAAGAGCAGACGGGCAUGUUUGGAGGCCUAGAGGCCCAGAGCCAGCCGAGUGGACAGCACUGGGAAGGCAGGAGGGACUCUAGGGGUGUCUGGUGUGGGAGGGGGGAGAAUCGAAGCCGGACCCAGGGCUGACCUGAGUGGUGGUGGUGGUGGUGGGGUCUUCCCUGGCAGAGUGCCCCUCCGGGGAAAUGUGGCAGCAGGUGGCCCCUGGGGAGCCAGGGCCCUGCGAGCGGACGUGCCGGGAGCCCAAUGCCACGGAGACCCAGGGCAGCUGCGGUGUGGGGCAGGCCCCAGGCUGUGUGUGCCAGCACGGACACUUCCGCAGCCAGGCGGGCCCGGGCCCCUGCGUGCCCAUAGACCACUGCGAGUGCUGGCACCGUGGGCGUCCCCACCCGGUGAGACACUGUAGCCCCUCCGGGCCACCCAGCCCUCCCCCACCCCCGCCCCCCUCCACUGGCUCCUCCCCCUGUGCCAGGAUCUGCAGCAGCAGACAGCUCGGCCAUCAGCCAUCACCCAUCACACGGGGACAGUCUCCAGGCCCCAUCAGCCCACCUCCCUCCCGAGACUCUUGUCCCUGACUUUGGUCUCUGGCCCCUGUCCUGACUGGUUUCAGGGAUGAGGGAUUGGCGGGGGGUGGGGGAGGGUGUAGUAUAGAAAAGUCUAACUGGCAGAGAUGGGUAGAGAUGGACGGGAGGGUUCUCCCCUCUCCCCAGCCUGGAUCCGAAUGGCAGGAGGCCUGUGAGAGCUGCCGCUGCCUCCGUGGGAGGAGUGUCUGCACCCAGCACUGCCCCCUCCUCACCUGUGCCCAGGUACCCGCCUGCAGCCCUGCUGCCCUCCUUCCUGGGUCCCUCCCCAGAGGCUGGUCUUAGGGCCUUGAGCAGGCAGUGCUGGGGCCCUGGGGUCAUCCUCCUGAGUGCACUGGGGACCACUCCCUCUGCAGGGCGAGGUGACCGUGCAGGAACCAGGGAGCUGCUGUCCCACUUGCCGCCGAGAGGCUCCGGGUAUGCCGGGGACCUGGGGCACUUCCUGCCAUGCCUCUCCCUGCUCUGGGCCCUUCUCCCAAACUGCUCCCGUGCCCACCCUAGGGGGCCUGCCGUCCCCAGUGCCGCCCACCAUGGGGAUCAGCAGAGUGGUGACGCCCAGUGCUGCAUCAUGGCGCCUGGCCACCGCUGCCCCAACAGCCUCAGGUGCCCCUCAGGUCCACAGUGUCCCCUUUACACAGAGUCCCCGCAUCGAGGCCCUUUCUCUCUGCCCUGCUCCCGCCUUCUGUGCUCACCUUCUUCCCACAGAGGGGCAGGCAGCCUCCUGCCGGCAUCUCACGGAGCUGCGCAACGUCACCAAGGGCGCCUGCUACCUGGACCAGGUGGAAGUGAGCUACUGCAGUGGGCACUGCCCGUCCAGCAUCAGCGUCAUGCCUGAGGUGAGCGAGGGGGCUGCCGUGCAGGCCCAGGAGAGUCAGGUCAGCCUGCACCCCUGAGGGACUGCUGCGGCCAGCCUAGGCCUGGGCAGUGCCCAGGGGACACGAGGGACUCGGUUGAUCUCAAAGGGGCACAGCUCAGAGCCAGGGGCGAGUUUUCACCAAGGCGGUGGCCUGCACCUGCUGCUUGGCCCUGUCACCCUCAGCGGGGCUUGGGCCCCAAGCCUACUCCAGGCCUCCACCCUGUGCUGAGGGCUUCCCAGGACAUCAGCAAGAAAGGCACAAAGGACCUACGUUAGGCUCUGAAAUCACAGCCCAUCAUAUAGUGAGGACAAGUUCUUUAGGACAGACCAUUUACACACAGCAUUGUCCCAGACAUUCCUGGCAAGGCAUAUUAUGAGCACGUCCCAGAAGACCUCUGCCCUGCGCGUGCUCUCCUUGGACCCAGAAGGCCCAGCCCUGCUCCAUGUGCAGACCUUGUCAGGAGCUCUGUGCCCACCCUGACUCCCCUCAUCCUGAGCCUGGAGAGCUAUGGCUCCAGUUCUAGCCUGGGAGGGUCCUGGCCCUGCCUCAGCUCACCGAUGGUGUGGCCAUUCCCUCCUGUCUCGACCCACCUGGGUCAUCUACUCCUGGAAGACAGAGGUGCUUUCCUACCUAGUCCUCAACGCUUGGCCACUCUCUGCUCCCCUGGGUGCUCCCGGUACCUCCUGGUAUUCCCAGACCAUUCCCAAACAAUAUUUGGAUUUGUUAAAACAUAGGAGAGUGGUUAAGAGAUAAGUGAGUGAUAGAGGGAUAGAAAUCAGAUGGAGAUUUGUUUUUACUGAGGUACAAUUGACAUGCAAUGUUAGUUUCAGGCGCACACAUAGCGAUUCCACAAUUCUGUAAAUUACACAGCGCUCCCCACAAUAAGUGUAGUCGCCAUUCAGUGGUAUUGUGUUAUUACACAGCGCUCCCCACAAUAAGUGUAGUCACCAUUCAGUGGUAUUGUGUUAUUAACUAUACUCCCUAUGCUGUACUCUUCAUCCCCAGAGGGGUUUUUUUUUUUAACUGAAUCUUUUGUAACUCGGUGCUGUUGAAUACAGUGCCUAUUUCAAAAGUAAAAUUACAAUGGAAUUAUACAGAAGUUAGAUCAAAUAUUCGGUGACACUCACGUAGUUACUAUAUAAUCGAAUAGCAGGAGGGGUCUGGAGUGAGAACUCACUUUGCACUUAGGAUCACAAUUGUGCAGUUUAGAGCUUCCCACCUUGCAGCGUCAGAAAGUAUUAGAUCCGCCUAAGGGGAUGGUAAGCAAGCCCCUUGGGGUAGGGCCGUAUCUCUCCCCUGCUGCCAGGAGGCAGUGAUGAGCAGUUAAAAGCAUUCUUACCGUGCAGGUGCGCGCUCAGAUGGCUGGGGCUUACAGUGAAGGAGGUGGGCUUCUUGGGGAAACGGGAGCUUGAUGGCGACACAUCCCUUCCUUACCCCGCUGUCCUGCUUGGCCAGGAGUGUUGGGCCCUGGCCGUACCCCGGAUGGGAAGGCCAAGAGAGCGAAGGGAGGUGGCUCGGGCAAACUCGCGUGGCCCCUCCCCAGCUCAGCCACGCCCUCCCGCAGGAGCCAUACCUGCAGAGCCAGUGUGACUGCUGCAGCUACAGCCUGGACCCCGAGAACCCGGUGCGGGUCCUGCACCUGCGCUGUCCCGACGGCCACGCGGAGCCCGUGGUGCUGCCGGCCAUCCGCAGCUGCCAGUGCAGCGCCUGCCAGGGUGGGUCUGGGCGGGGCGGGGCUGGGGUGGGAGGGCCGGGGACCGAGGCUGGACACCUGCAGGGGCGGGGCCGGGCUUUCCGAAAGGCGCCCGGUUUCCCGAAGCUCAGGCCCUCGUGGGAUUCAUCCUUCUUGACCCCUUCUGACCCUCUUCGUCCCCCGUCUUGGCUUGCUUGUUGGCUUCGUCUCCAAUGCAGCGCAAGCUUGGGUGUUUGGAGUCGGUCACAGCUGCUUCCUCCCAGCUCAUCUGUUUCCUUCCUUGCUGAGCAUCCGUGACCUCAGCUUCGCGACCUGACUGACUGUGCACAGGCUUUUGGGGGGGGGGGCUUGGUGGGAGCGCAUGUGUGAAGCGCCUGCCAGGUGCCUGGUUCUUGAUAGGUCCCCGAGGCCACAUUGUGGCAGGUGAGAAACAGGGGCAGGGGCGCUCACAGCGCCUGGGUGGAGUGCAGGGCAAAAGCACGCCUUUCUCUGGGCUUCUUCCUGGCGGGGCUUCUCUCCUGCCAGUUUGCUCCACUGCUCCCCCUCUGGCUGCACCCCUUCCCGGCCUGACCACUGCCUCUGUGCCAGUGCAUCUCCCCCUUAUCUGUCCUCCAGGAGGUGAUUUCUCAAAGCACUGACGGUCCCGCUGGAUGAGGCUGCCCAGCCACCACCCCUCGUGCGAUCACCGGGCCCAGAGGCACCGACCCCCUCCUCCCGUGCCCACCCAUCCACUCCAUGCCCUGGUACCAGCAUAUCCCAAAUAAAGUGACAUCAGCA
rnacentral:lncRNA from 1 species